rnacentral:rRNA from 1 species
UAGACGGCGAGUGAAGCGGCAACAGCUCAAAUUUGAAAUCUGGCUCUUUUAGAGUCCGAGUUGUAAUUUGCAGAGGGCGCUUUGGCUUUGGCAGCGGUCCAAGUUCCUUGGAACAGGACGUCACAGAGGGUGAGAAUCCCGUACGUGGUCGCUGGCUAUUGCCGUGUAAAGCCCCUUCGACGAGUCGAGUUGUUUGGGAAUGCAGCUCUAAAUGGGAGGUACAUUUCUUCUAAAGCUAAAUAUUGGCCAGAGACCGAUAGCGCACAAGUAGAGUGAUCGAAAGAUGAAAAGCACUUUGGAAAGAGAGUCAAACAGCACGUGAAAUUGUUGAAAGGGAAGCGCUUGCAGCCAGACUUGCUUACAGUUGCUCAUCCGGGUUUCUACCCGGUGCACUCUUCUGUAGGCAGGCCAGCAUCAGUUUGGGCGGUAGGAUAAAGGUCUCUGUCACGUACCUCCUUUCGGGGAGGCCUUAUAGGGGAGACGACAUACUACCAGCCUGGACUGAGGUCCGCGCAUCUGCUAGG